UGAGGAAUAUUGCGCAAUGGGCGAAAGCCUGACGCAGCAACGCCGCGUGGGGGAUGAAGCUUUAUGGAGUGUAAACCCCUGUAAGUAGGGACGAAAGUUACCUAUUCGAAUAGGAUGGGUAUUUGACGGUACCUACAGAGUAAGCUCCGGCCAACUCCGUGCCAGCAGCCGCGGUAAUACGGGGGGAGCAAGCGUUGUCCGGAAUUACUGGGCGUAAAGGGCGUGUAGGCGGUAUUGUAAGUCAGAUGUAAAAGGCUACGGCUUAACCGUAGAUUGUCAUUUGAAACUGCAGUACUUGAGUGCGAGAGAGGGUAGUGGAAUUCCCAGUGUAGCGGUGAAAUGCGUAGAUAUUGGGAAGAACACCAGUAGCGAAGGCGGCUACCUGGCUCGUAACUGACGCUAAUGCGCGAAAGCGUGGGGAGCGAACAGGAUUAGAUACCCUGGUAGUCCACGCUGUAAACGAUGAACACUAGGUGUUGGUCCCGACGUGUCGGGAUCGGUGCCGCAGCAAACGCAUUAAGUGUUCCGCCUGGGGAGUACGAUCGCAAGGUG
rnacentral:rRNA from 1 species